rnacentral:tRNA from 1 species
GGGCCCGUAGCUCAGUUGGCUAGAGCACCGGUUUUGCACUCCGGAGGUCGCUGGUUCGAACCCAGUCGGGUCCACAA